CGGCAGCCCCGGGGCGGGGCGCGCCCGGUUGGCGUGGGCGUGGCCGCGGCGCGUGCCAGAGCUGCGCGGCCUGCGCUGGCCCCGGCAGGUGGCUGGUGUUUCCUGCUCCCAGGGACAGACACGAACUUCUGCAGAGCUCGAGAUAUCAGCCGUCUGAUUCGCCGUCCCUCAGCUUAACAAAUGGCGGCACAGUGUGUGACGAAGGUGGAACUGACUGUUGCCUGCACCAAUCUCUUGGACAAAGAUAUUGGUUCCAAGUCAGACCCGCUGUGUGUGCUUCUCCAGAACACGAGUGGUCAGCAGUGGUAUGAGGUUGAUCGCACAGAAAGAGUUAAGAAUUCCUUGAACCCAAAGUUUGCCAAGAAAUUCCUAAUUGAUUACUAUUUUGAGAUUGUUCAGAAACUUAAAUUUGGAAUAUAUGACAUUGAUAACAAAACCUUUGAUCUGAGUGAUGAUGACUUCUUAGGAGAAUUUGAAUGUACACUGGGACAGAUAGUUUCUAGCAGGACUCUGACAAAACCAUUAACACUUAAAAAUGGCAGACCUGCCGGAAAAGGAAGUAUUACGAUUACAGCAGAAGAAGUGAAGGAUAACAGGGUGGUUGUAUUGGAAGUAGAAGCAAGGAAACUGGACAAUAAGGAUUUUUUUGGAAAGUCAGAUCCAUAUCUGGAAUUCCACAAGCAGACUGGAGAUGGAAACUGGGUGAUGGUUCACAGAACAGAGGUUAUUAAAAACAAUCUGAAUCCUGUUUGGAGGCCCUUUAAAAUCUCUCUCAAUUCUCUGUGUUACAGUGACAUGGAUAAAGCAAUCAAGGUUGAGUGCUAUGACUAUGAUAGUGAUGGAUCUCAUGAUCUCAUAGGAAGUUUUCAAACUACAAUGUCAAAUCUGAAGGAAGCAUCUCGCUCUUCACCUGUUGAAUUUGAGUGUAUCAACGAGAAGAAAAAACAGAAGAAAAAAAACUACAAAAACUCUGGCAUUGUGAGCGUUAAGCACUGUGAGAUCAUAGUAGAGUGCACAUUCCUUGAUUACAUCAUGGGUGGGUGCCAGCUGAAUUUCACAGUGGGCAUAGACUUUACAGGCUCCAAUGGAGACCCUCGCUCUCCAGACUCUCUGCAUUACCUCAGCCCUAAUGGAGUUAACGAAUACCUAACAGCCAUCUGGUCUGUAGGUCUAGUCAUUCAGGAUUAUGACACAGAUAAGAUGUUUCCAGCCUUUGGAUUUGGUGCACAAAUUCCUCCUUCCUUUCAGGUGUCUCAUGAGUUCCCAUUAAAUUUUAACCCAUCAAACCCAUUCUGCAAUGGAAUCCAAGGCAUUGUUGAAGCGUAUCGGGCUUGUCUUCCUCAAGUGAAGUUAUAUGGACCAACAAAUUUUUCUCCAAUUAUAAAUCAUGUAGCAAGAUUUGCUGCUGCAGCUACACAACAACAAACAGCAUCUUUUAUGUCUUCAACAUCCUUUCACUAAGUGUAAGGAGCAGGAGAGAAAUUAAGAUUCUUGUACUUGGAGCACCUCUUCCAGCUUGCUCCUGCUGCUUGGUGCAAGAGUUUUACAUUAAAAGAAAACAAUGCAGGUGCUUGCUUUCCCCCUCAGGAAUGUGAAGAAUAAUGUGAGGAGCACUGUUCUCCAGCUGUGAAGGAGUGUUACAGAAAUAAAUGCUGCCAGUUGAGGUGGAAUGAUACCAGAUUUCAGCAAAACCUGGAGACUGGUGCCAAAUAUGUGGGUGAAACAGCGUUAUACUCUGACCAGUAAGUAAGGCAAGUGAGAACAUCAUGAACAACAGAGUGAUUCAUGUAAGUUACAAGCUGUGUUUGCAGGCACAGUGGUUUGCAGCCAUUUUUGUAUCAUACUGUGUUCUGGAUUUGUACUUAUUUUACAAAGUCAGCAACCUCUGUAUGUUUUUGUUUGUAUUUUUGCUAAGCUACUAAUUAGUGUUUCCUUCACAUGAGGAAAUACUGUGUGGAAUCAGUUAAUUUCUGGGCUUUAUUUAUUCAUUUAUUUGUAAUAAUAUUCAUAUGGGCAGAUAUUCUUGGUCAUGAUUAAGUCCCUGUGAAGUAUGGACAGGAUGUUUCUUCCAUCUACAGAAGUCUGUCAAAACACAAAAUGUUUUUGACUGUUCAGGCUGUUGACUGUCAGCUCACCGACUCCUGACCACUAGUCCUUCUUAGCAUUCUUCUUUCUCUCAAGUCAUUAAUAGCCCAUACAUAUUAUUGAUUUUUAUUUGUCCUGUCUUAGACUGAGGUUUUUCAGAGUGAGAAACAUCACACUUCAAUAUGCUCACAGUGCAGAUCUACACUGUUUGCAUAUUUAAAUGGUUUACUGUCACUUAUGAAGAUUAUAAAGAGAUUUUAUUUUUCUUCUCUCCCCUCUUUUCUCUCAUUCUGAUUAAUGUUUCAAUACCUGCCUCUCAUUGUCUAAAAAUGGCUAUAAGUUCUCCUCUUCCUUCUCAUGAAAUUGAGUAGAAAACUGGUCUACUAAUGACAAAAAAAGUGGAGAAGAUUUUGUAUAAAUUGAAAUGUAAAAUACCUCGCAUUAGAAAUGUAUUGCAUUGCAAUAUGCCUUCAGUCAUGCAUCAUGCCAUUUCAGUUUACAGUAGCUCAGACUGUACGGAUGAGACAAAGGGAGCUGAAAUGGCAAAAAUUAGGGGUUCUGUCUUGCCUGCAGUGAAAAUACAAGGACAGUCAGAUUACAGUCUUCCUCAUCAGCAUAUUUAAUUAAUUUUAAGCCUUUUAAAUACAAUAGUUUAUCUAAAAUAAAGACUGAACCAAAGAUAACCCUUCUUCAGGUUUGUUUACACAGAAGCAUUCAGAAAUAUUGAAGAAAACAGAUACAGAUUGUGAAGUCAAUAUCAAUGUUCUAAGGAUUAUUCUGCAGUGAAUUACAAGAAUUUUACUCGUCAGUCUCUUCAGUGAAGGAACUUUGGAGGAAUUAAAUGCAUGCUAAAGAGGAGAACUGAAUUUACAGCCUCAUUAUGUUUGACUUCCUGUUUUGAAUAUUGAACAUACUGUCUGUAAAAUGUGAGAGAGUGUCAACAGUGUAAUAUCUAAUGCAAAGCUCUCUUUUUAUAAUUAGGGAAAACACUUACUGAAAUAUUAUUUGAUACAGAACUAAGCAGAAAAUUUUUGUGAGUCUCAGACUUCAGUGGGAUCAUAAAGGAAUACAAAUUAAUCUGUCCCCAAGCCCCCACUUGCAAGGAGAAGUGUGCUGGUCAUAGCGUUUAUCUGUCAUAGCAACUAUUCAUUAACAGACAUUUUUGAGUGUCUAAGAAUGUUCAUAUGAUACCACAAUGAAAGGCAGUUUUACCAAGUGUCCUGUCACUGAGAAUAAUCAAAAGACGAUGCCUAAGAAAAGUUGCAUGGAAGUCUGUUGCAUUUCCCCUGAUGAACUUUCAUACUCAAAACUUUUUUAGAUCAAACCAAAUGUUAUUCCUGUGUAAUUAGUGACCCUCAGUGGUUAUUCUUUCAUUAAUCUCUCCAGAUUUCCACUGAAAAUAUUUGUCUUGUGUAUUUGACAGGAUGCCAUCUUUAAUUGAGAUUCUACAGCUAAACAAAUAAGAAACAAUUGAAGACAUGAGGGUAGAUAUUUCCUUAUACAUAGGCAAAGAAGAAAUAUAUAGACUUAAUAUAUGGAUUUUUUUUUUUUCUUUAAUUUCAAUAUAUUUUCCAGUAAAAUCUGGAAGUUCUUUGGAUUUAUUGAAAUCUUUGAAAACCAGAAACCAAGGAACAUUGUCACUGUUUAUAGCAUACUGGAGUAUUUGGAAAGACUUUGUAACACUUCCAUUGUUCAGCAUGUCUUGGCUUUUAAUAAUGCAACAUAUUUCAAAAUAGAUAUUUUUAAAAGAUAUAAUAGUUUUUAAAUUAUUAUUUUUACUUGCAAUCAGUUUGAAUCAGAAAUUUUCUACCAUAUGUCAGAAAAAGAAUAUGAAACCAUAUGUUUCCAGCUCUGGGACUGUGUCCCAGAGAAAAAACAGUUUGCUAUUUUUAUACUGGCCAGCAGGUGUCAAUACCCCAAAGUGGAGAAGCUGCUCGGCAGCCAGAUACAGUUAGAAAGAGUGAGGCUGGAACAGGGAUUAAAAGUAUUUUGGAUGUCUCACUUUUUUGAAAACAGACUUUGUGGAGCUUUUCUGUGCUUUAUCAUUACCAGGAAGAAAGCUGUCUCCUGAGGGGAAAGGGGGGAAGGAAAUUAAGCAACCCCAACAUCCAGAAAGGAGGUACCUCAUUUUCUUUUCCCACCAAUCCUAGUAACAGUAUUUUAUUCCCUGUCUACAGAACACCAAAGCUCUGCAGUCUCUGACUUCACCCUUCAAGGCUCUGUGCUCCCCAGCCCAUCUGGCUGAAUCCACCUAAGCAAUGGAAAAGUGGAUAAGAGUGGGAUACUUGGCUGUUUUGAUCAGUGCAACGGACUUCAGCCAAACCUGUUGAGGUGCUAUUGCACCCUAUCUGUUUUUGUCCUUAAGGUGCUAUUCUAAUACAUCUUAAUGGAUAUUUUUCUAUUUAAGAUCAUAAUAUCUGUUAGCUGCUAAAGUUAAAAAAUCUUAAGUGAAAUUUGUUUUCAACACAAAUUUCAGCAUUUAUAUGAUUGUGUGUAAAUAAUGUCCUUUUGGACCCAUUUUAGACUUGUGUAAAAGACAACCUUUUAAAGUUUUGUGUAGUUACAUGAUAUGUCUUCUCUAUAUUAGGCUUUGGAACUUUUUCAAUUAAUAGCAAAAAUAUCCAUCUUUCCGUGUUAUUAUAGAUUAAGCAUUUUGAGUACAGGCUGGGUAGCUAUUAAGAAAGAUACGUGAUUCUUGAGGGGGGGGUUUUUUGUGUUUUUUUUUUUUUCUUUUUUCUUUUUUUCUUUUUCCAGACUUCCACAGAAGUGGUGCUACAGGACGUUUUUAAACACUAUAAAUGUAAUAAUGAAAUAGUUGUAACCAUUUCAUUCUUCCACUGAUUUAACAUAUUUUCUCAAGGUAGGAGGUUAUUUUGGAGCAGUUUUUUUGAUCUUUGUUAAUAAAUAAAAAAAAAAGUUGUUAAAAGCUGACAUUAUUUAGGCAAAUAUAAAAUCUAUCAUAUAGCUCUCACAGUACUAGUCUCUGUCUACCACCCAUGAUGAAAUCAUGUCUGAAACUGAAUAUUUUGAACUAUUGAAAUUCUGGCCUUAAUUUCUUACCAGCUGCUAUUUUACAGUGAACUGGUAAGAGCUAGGAAUUUACAUACUCCAUUUUUAAUUUAAUCUAAUGUUGUCAGUCAGCAUCACAUGUCAAGACACUAUUUCCAUCAGAAGGAACUUAAAAAACAACAACCUGAAAGAUUAAAAUCCUCUGCCUCUUGAAGAUAAUAAUCUUAGUGAUUUUUAACAGAUUGCUUUAGCAGAUGGAGACAUGAUAAUCACUACAGUAAAUUACAUUAACAUGCUUUCAGACAGAGAUAUCACAUUUGCCACAGUAAUUUACAUUAACAUGAUUUGAAAAAUAUUUGAUUCCCAAAAAAAAGUAUUAAAAAUAACAUUUUAUCAAUUCACUCCACCUGUCACUUCUUCAGAUAAUUGUCAGUUUGGAGUGGGAUACAUUUUUACCAGUGAAUGUCAUGGCAAACAGGACAUAAAUAUGGUUUUGCUUUGGCAAUCUAUAGACACUAUGGUACACAGGAUCCUGCAUGGUACCACAACAAAACCAUGUACCAGGACAUGAAGAAGAUAACCCAAUUAUUGAUCCCCUAAUUAUUCAGUACUGUAAACCAGGCAUGAAGAUUUCAGGACAUUUGACUGGCAUAUCUCAUUGCCUUCUCUGUUUGUAAAAUGGGGAUUAUCCUCAUUCAUCUUCAGUCAGAGACGGUCUAAGAAAAUGAAGUAUCACUUGCCAAACACCUGUUAGAAGGAAGAGUAUCUUGACAGAGCUUGAAGAAUUUAAUCAUGCCCUGCAGAGCAGAACUUUAAGGUUGGUGAAAAAAAAAUGCUUGAAAAAAAAUUCAGUUAGGACAAAACAAGACAUGCUAUGUAUUUGUUCAUUCACUUAAUACUGUCCUUUUUUGAAAUGAAUGAGACAGAUGUCCUGAGGCCCAAAAGGUCUUACUGCAAAACACAGGGAAGCCUAUCAAGAUCUUCUGUGCAAUAUUAAUCCUGUCAUUUCCUUAUUUUAGAGUAUUUUUAUGUCCUUUUAAAUGUUGUUUUUUAUUUCUGAAUGGAAGUGGGGUGCUACUUACAAGCAGUUUAAUGGACUGUUUGCAAGAAAUGGAAUAGCAGUGGCUGUUUACCUGCCUGAUACCACACAAAUUUAGCAUUACUGGGAUAUGUUCCCUGUUCAGUAGUGCAAUUCUGUCUUCCUGCCUCAUCCACAGAGAUUUAGUUCACUUAGACAUUUCAGCUGUGUAGUUCACUUCCACUGAUGGGUCUUUUUCAAUAGGUGUUUUGCUGGUUUCUCAUGAGGUUCAGGUGUUGCUCGUCGCAGUGCUUUCUCAGUCUCAGUCCCAGUUUUUCCAAAGCCUUCUCAGAGCUUCCAAGAGUUUAGAGCAGUCUGGGUCCUACCACAGUGUGAGAAGCACCUACACGCUACAGCUUGAUUGCUGCAGCCAGGUAAGGUGUUGCCUACACUGGAAAUUUGUACAGAUGUAAGUAAGACUGGUGCAGUAAAUAAAUACACUCUCUCAUCUUAAUUCCUCUUCUCCUAUUAUGCAUGUAUAAUUGUAUGCAAGAUGUAUGCAAUGACAUGCCCCUAUUCUGUUGAGUAAGACAUUAUACUUGUAACUAAAAGAUUGUACCAGUAAAAUCUUAAGUAGAGAGGCGGGAAGUGAAAACUUGUGUGAGAAGAAUUGAUUUGUGUACUAACAUCUCACCCAAAGUGGCUGCAAAGUGCAUACCAUCCUAGGAAAUCUUCUAAAACAUCGUUUCUGUGUGCUUCCUUCCACCCAGUCUCAGUGGGAAACAAAGUGCAAUAUUUUUUUCCUCAAAAAAUACGUUUUACUUUUAAACAAACAAUAGAUCUUCACUCUUCUAGGUCACAAAAGUUCUGUUUUCCAAAACUAAUAAUACUCUCUGAAGAUGCUGCACAGAUUGCCAAAGUGACUACAAUAGUAUUCUGUCCAACAAUUAUAUAAAAAAAAAAAUUAAAUGUGUUAUUGUAAAACUUUAAAGAAAAAAAAAACACAUAGGGGUCUCAAGAGUGAGUUUAGGAUGUGUUAUGUGAAAAGAAGCUUAUUGGUGAUUAUCUUCAAGAAUUCCAUCGUAGUACAUAUAUUUUUUGCAUGUAAACAAACAUAGGAUAGUACAAUGAAUCUGGACAGUAAUGUUGCUACAUUAGAGCAAAUAAAAGACAGAGACAAAUGGUAUUUGCCUAUCUGUUUUUCUUCAGAAAGAAUGAGGUGCAAAGAGCUGUAAAUCUGUGUUAGUCAUAUAACUACAUGCUCAAAAAUAGUUUCACAGAAAUCAGUGGUGUUUCAUACAAGAACUAGAAUCUAUCUGCAUGUAUCAGCUUGGAGGACUGGGUUUUGAACAAUGAAUACACAUAGUGAAAAGUGAAGUUUUAAUAGUGUAAGAUGUCUUUAGUAAAACUAACAUGUCUAACACUUAUUUCUCUUGAAGCUGUUUCAGAGCAAUGUGAGGGAAUGUUGUGUAAGAUCCUGUGAUGUUGCUCACAGCCAGAGGGAACUGGAAGGCUAACAUUGAGCACAAUGGGCUGGACACAAUACACGGCUGCUUUCAAACUACUGUUUUCACCGAAUUGUUACUCAAGGACUAGUGACGACUCAGACCUGCUUGCUGUUCUGCACAUUUCAUUUGAUCUAAACCCAAACUUUUCAAGAGAACUCAAAGUCUGGCCAGUGAAAAAUCUUGGACACUUUUGGAAUUCUUACUCCACAUUCCUGAAUACUGUAAGUGUGAUAAACACACCAGUAAGAAUUGCAGAACAUGUUUUUCAGUCUGGAGCUAUUAAACAGAUUCAUUUUACUAUACUGAGAAAAUAACCUCAAUCUUCUAUUUUUCAUGCUUUGUAGGAACAUGAAGUGUUGAAGUGUUGAGCUGAGUUUAUUUUUAUAAAUAUUCUGCACUUGCAGGUGAAGUUUGACAGAAUGUCACAACUUAGUUUCCAUUUAAUUUCUAGCAAUUGCCAGUCUACACCUUCUCCUGAAUUAACAGCCUGGAGACAUUCAAAUUUCACAUUCUGAUUCAGCUGCACUCAGAUCUCAGUCUUUUCUUUCCCUCUCUUCCUUGAAAACUGGAUUUUUAAAAUUAAUUUUAUAAAAAAUAUAUUCUAGGUACCUGCUCUGGGACCUUUUUUCCCAACACAAAUCACAGUCCCCAAUGCUGUCAUUGCUGAUGAUAUUCCUUACAUUUAUAUACUAGUUUAUAUUAAAUCUAUGUGUUAAACUAAUUAAAUAACAGAGACCUGUACAGAUUGUAAUGAGUCUCUUUUUAAUUCAUGGUUCCUGGCUCCACUGUGUGGUUCUUCUGCAGUGUGGGAACAGUGCAGUUAUCCUUUAAUGUCAUGUGUCCUGGUUACCCUGAUUGGGAGACAUGAGGAGAGCACAUAGGAUAAAGAGUCUAAGUUAAAUUACACCAGUAGGGUGGAUGCAAGUAAAUAAUGAUUGUGUUGAACAAAGGAAUGUAUUUUUCUGCUAUUGCUAUGGUUAUUAGCAAAACUCUUGAUAGUUUAAGAUUGGGAGCCAGCUGUGUCUACAGUUAAGAGUAAUUGUUGCAGUACUGUGCAAUGCCCAAUGAAUUCUGGCUGGGCUUAUAAGUAAUACGAUGUGCACUGGUAGUCUUACAUGGCCAUGCAGGUUGCUUGAUCCUUUUCAACAUCUGUGUAACUUCUUGGACUUGAACGUUGGUAGCUGGAUUGACCUAGAAGUCUGAUAAAAACAAGGUUAAAAAACUGAGUACAGUGGGGUUAGAUUUGUUCUUUUGCUCUCCCCAUUGUUUUUCUUUGCUUCUCUAGAAAAAUAAGUAAUUGUUUUGGGCAAAAUACAGGCACAUACCACCUUCUUAUUCAGAACAAGAAAGAGGGAGAUCUUGGUUCAGAUCUGAGAUCCCUUUUAAGAUCUCCUGUCAGUGUCACAGUCCUGGCUUACGGUUUACUCUCUGUCUUAAAAUUAGUGAGUUAAAGUACCUGUGCUAUUAAAUUUGAGGACAGAUUAAUGAUAUAGAAGAGAUUAGAGUCUUGUUUUUCUCUACUGUCUGCUGUUAACAGUGAUGACAAUGUGGGAAUGCUCUGUGGAGCUGUGAAACAACACAGAAGCCUGUGGUCUCCAGAGAUGUGAGUUUCAGCCCUAGGCUUUACAUGAGUUUUUGUCACCUGAAGUUGUUAUUCUGGUGAAACUGUUCGAUUGGAAGAAACAUCUGAAUUAAAUCUUCAGACAUGUGAAAAGUCUUAGGGACAGCAGGGCUGAGAAACAUGUAGACCAACAAUAGUAUGCACAGAAACAGCAGGAGGAAGGAGGAAAUACGGUUUACUGUAGGGUUUAGUGUUUGUUUUCACAAUCCCUUCAUUCACUGAUACAUCUUUUGAUAGUCCAGAUUCCAAUAGGCAGCAAUUGAGAUGAUGUUACUAGUAGCUUUAAGUGGCUCUGGGGAGAAGGCAAAUUAUUAGACAUGCCAAAUUUUACUAUUGGAGGCACUUCUGAGUAACAGCACUUUGCUUGUUCAAGUCACCACGAACAGCUAAGGCAAUUAAAGCCUAGACCUCUACAUUUUAGAUUACUAUAUUGGACUCCCUCUGUUUGUAAUAGAAAUAAAGAUGUUUAUAGGAAAUUUUGUCUGCUAAAACAGGUCAUAUAACUUUAAAUGCAUACCAGUCUAAGUGUAUGAAGUUAGCUGAGAUUAAUCUUGUCCUUGGUUUCAUUUAAUAUAUGAGCCUUUAUCUCCCUCAAAAGUAAAUCAGCAUGGAAAGUCAUUAAGCAUUCUCUUUUAUACCCUUAAUGUCCUUGUAAGUUGAAAACUGUUGAUUAUCCUGUACUUUGAAACCUUGUUCUAUUUUAAGAGAUAGGAAUUUGUACUUUGAGAGAUUGUUCUUUGUCUAAGGCCAGUUCUGAGGUUUCAGGUAACCAUUCUAAACUGGCCACUAAAAAAAUGCUUCACAUACUAUCUUUGAGUUCAGAGGGAAAUGAGAUGAGAAAUCUGAGGAGAUGAGAAAGCAGAAGACGGACAGUUCUUAUGGUUAAAUAUACCCUUCAACUUUGAAAGAUACUUCUGAAGGUCUUGAAAGAACAAGAUGUCCUCCUCCAGCACCCUAGUACUCCUCAUGGGAGAUCGUGCAAUGAGGUUAGUAUUUUUGAGGGAUUUACACUGUGGUUGGACUCUCCAGAGCUUUUGGUCAAACAGGAAUAGCCCUGUGUGUUGGAAAGCUCAUCUUCUCCCUUCUGCUGACUCAGCAUGUGAUCUCAAGUGUAUCAUUGUAAGAACUGCCUUUCUCCAUUUUAAAGGAAAAACACUUGUGCUCUUCAAUAGAAUAGCAGAGGAAGCUUCUAGGCUCUGGUACCCACAUAAUAAAAUAUUGAGAGGACAGAAUAGAAGGGCUCAUAAGAGCCGUUAAUGAACCUCAAAUGGUUUGGAGGUUGUGUACUGGGCUUCUCUGUACUCCUUUUUUUUUAAAGUAUUUUGUGUAUAAUAAAUAUUUGAUAAAUAUAAGAUAGAUCAUUAA